rnacentral:lncRNA from 1 species
GUUCCUCCCCGCCCUGGUGCUGCUCCGGGUCACAUACUCGUCCUGAGCCGGCUUCAGCCUCUCCGCGCAGAAGUCUCCCGGAGCCGACUUCUGAGAGUCGAGUACUCCUAUGUGAAGACUACCAAGCUCGUGUUCAAGGGAACCAAGGCGAAGAGGUGGGUCCUGCAGCUCUGGCGGGAGCCUUCUCAGUUCUUUUCGGACGCACUCCACCCCCGCGAAUCCGGUGGAAGUCGUGCCGCGGAGAGCUGGCUUUGUGGCAUCCCAGGCUUCGCCCUGGCGCCUGUCCGGGCUGGAUGGAGGCCAGAUAGCGGUUCCUGGCGCCUGUGCAGAGAGGGGCAGCCUCCCGCGCGGACGACCCUGGAAACAGGAUAGACGGGCGGGUGACCCGUGGCCCCGUACCCACGAGUUUGGGUCCCCUGAGGCAUCUCUCCAGGCCUCUGCCUGUAAGAAGAAAAAGAACAAAGAUAAGAAAAGAAAAAGAGAAGAAGAUGAAGAAACCCAGCUUGAUAUGUUGAAAUAUCAAUUUUAUUUUUUAGGAAUCUGGUGGACAGUAACAAACUUUGGUGAAAUUUCAGGAACCAUAGCCAUUGAAAUGGAUGAGGGAACCUAUAUACAUGCACUCGAUAAUGGUCUUUUUACCCUGGGAGCUCCACACAAAGAAGUUGAUGAGGGCCCUAGUCCUCCAGAGCAGUUUUCGGCUGUCAAAUUAUCUGAUUCCAGAAUCACCCUGAAAUCUGGCUAUGGAAAAUAUCUUGGUAUAAAUUCAGAUGAACUUGUUGUUGGGCGUUCAGAUGCAAUUGGACCAAGAGAACAAUGGGAACCAGUCUUUAAAAUUGGGAAAAUGGCUUUGUCGACCUCAAAUAGCUGCUUUAUUAGAUACAGUGAAGCAGAGGACAUAGAAGCAAAAAGUAAAACAGCAGGAGAAGAAGAAAUGAUCAAGAUUAGAUCCUGUGCUGAAAGAGAAACCAAGAAAAAAGAUGACAUUCCAGAAGAAGACAAAGGAAAUAUAAAACAAUGUGAAAUCAA